AAUAUUGGACAAUGGGCGAAAGCCUGAUCCAGCCAUGCCGCGUGUGGGAAGAAGGUCUUCGGAUUGUAAAGCACUUUAAGUUGGGAGGAAGGGCAGUAAGUUAAUACCUUGCUGUUUUGACGUUACCGACAGAAUAAGUACCGGCUAACCUCGUGACAGCAGCUGCGGUAAUUCGAAGGGUGGAAGAGUUUAUCUGUAUUACUGGGCGUAAAGCGCCCGUAGGUGGUUUGUUAAGUUGGAAGUGAACGCCCCGGGCUCAACCUGGGAACUGCUUUCAAAACUGGCAAGCUAGAGUACGGUAGAGGGUAGUGGAAUUUCCUGUGUAGCGGUGAAAUGCGUAGAUAUAGGAAGGAACACCAGUGGCGAAGGCGACUACCUGGACUGAUACUGACACUGAGGUGCGAAAGCGUGGGGAGCAAAC
rnacentral:rRNA from 1 species